CACAGGUGACUAAAGGUGACACUGAUUAAUUGACAAACAAAUAGGUGUGGAAAGUAAAAACAGGUUUUAAGGUAUUGUUGACUAAUACUUAAGUUUCAGUCAUGGUCUGCCCACAUGUAUAAAUAAAGGUGCUGAUCAGAUUCUGACACCUGCAGUUCAGCAUCAUUGUAUUCUGGUAAAGCUGUUUUCGCUGGUAAAGAGAGAAUCUCCUUGAAUUUGCUCUGCUCUGCAUUUUUCUCUGGUAAAAAAACUUUUCUGUUAUUCAUCCCAUCUGCUUUUAAUGUAUUUUUCUAAAAUUGUAAUUCUCUUUGUGUAAAUAUACCAAUGCUUGUUCCAGAGAUUGUAUUUGCAAAAAUGUGUUUGUACAUUAAUGUUUUAAGUUUUUAAAUAAUAUUUAUUCUAUAAUAUGUUUGCUUCUUAAUUGACUUUUUAUCUUUUAUUGUAAAGUUUAUUUAUAAUGUUUAUACAUACGUGUGUGUGUGUGUGUGUGUGUGUGUGUGUGUGUGUACUUAUAAAUGUGCAGGUGCAGGAGGUGCAGUUUCUCAUAAUGAGGUUUUUAAUCUCAUUGUGCGUGUCUCUGCUGCUGCUUAAUAAUGGUGAAAUAAUCAAUGGACAAACACCAGGCUGCAUUCUACGACCUACGAUCUUAUGUUUUGAAAUAAACUUUCUAAAAAUUAAUUUUCUAAUGAUUUUUAAGGACGUUAUUGUCAUGAAUCCGGUCUUCGAACUUCCGUUCACUCACCACCAGAGGUCACCUGCUCACUACAUGGACUCUCACAUUACACAGACUGUUACACAUACCCUGGACUACAUUUCCUAUCAUCCAUUACACUGAUUGCACACAGCUGUCAUCAAUCUCCUGCUCACCUGAAAACAAUCACACCAUGCACCUGAGACCAAUUACACACACAGCUACAAUCAAUCAGACACGCUUUAUAAGCAUUGGACUUCCUCUCUCGAACUGCUGAGUAUUGUUCUGCGUUUCUCACUCUCCCAGUGUUAGCUGCGAAACGGAGCCAGUCUAUUUUCCUAGUUUAGUCUAGUCUUUCCUUGCCUGUUUUCCCGUGUAUCGAUCUCUGCCUUUGUUUUUGGAUUACCCUGCCGUCUUGCCAUUGGGACUCUGUUUGCCCUUGCCUGGACUAUUAUCUGUGCCUGGAUUAUCUCUUUCUGCCUAGCUCUAUGGAUAUUGUCUGCUGAUCGGAGACCCUUGCUUGCCCUUGGAUUAUUCUUGUGUCUUGCCCAUACCAUACUUGUUUCCUACUGUUUCGACCAUGUCAAGGAAUAAAAGCUUGCAUAUAGGUCCGCA
ensembl:lncRNA